CCCAUGGAGCUCAGGGAUUCCCUUUUGCCUUCUCGCUGCUGCACGUUGCUCACUGGCAUGCGCCGAGCUGCCGGUAGAGCCAGACCUCUUGGUUUCAGGGGUUUUGCAACACCUCCCUUUCACAGGGUUCUACAUUAGACCCACAGCCGGUUCGUGCCUUCACAAGCAGCAGCAGAUGCAGACUUUGCUUGCAACAAUUGCAUCCUGAAAGGAGAUGCUUGCCUCCAGGGACCAGCAGGUUGAGCCUGAAUGCCUUGCUUUAAAUGCCAAUCAUCAGGGAAUGUCCCAACCACCUCCAGGCCAGAGGGUCCCUGCACAGUGCCUGGCAGCGGGCUGACUCUCCUCCACAGCGAAGGUUUGGCCUCCUUGUCCCUACAAAAUAUAGAUUUUACCAAAGGCAGAGGUAGCUCACGGUUCCCUUUGCUGGUUAGGAGCUACUUUCAUAUAUUUUGAGAAUGUAACCAAUGGACCAGGAUUUUCUAGAACAUUUUCUUUGCUCACUGUCUUGCAGCGGGUGAGGGAAAAGCAUGAGUGGGUUGUGCCACGUUGGCUGUCACCUCGCACGGCCAGGUGACGGCAACCAGUUUCAUCUCAGCAUGUCUGUGAAACUCUGGGAGCUUCCACGAGAAUGUUGUUUUUCAAAGAGGAAGUUUAGCUUUAACAUUGUCCAGUUAUUUAUAAAACAAGAGAUCCAUUAGUACACAAACAGCAGUUAAUGCUGUUUUUAUCGAAAACCGUAAUCUUUUUGGUAUGUUGCGUGGCUGUGUCUCCUUUUACUGCCUGGGGCAGUGCAGUCACACAGCUGGAUCCUCCAUGCUCAUCUGCUUGCACCCGGUGAAACAUCCCCAUCCAAAGGUGACAUUAAGUAGGGGCAAGGGGCGAAGAGAAGCUGGACACACUGAGAUAACACUGCUGUUGUGAAGAGCUGGGGUAGCAGCGGCAGAUGCAGUCUCAUCCCUAUGCCUCUGAAAGCCUUCCCCAAAAAAUAAAAAUGUUUUCUGAGCCACACAGAAAAAUGAAAAUAAAAAUACAUAAUCAAGGCAUCUGGGAUAACUUCCAGUGAAGAUGUAUCUGGCUUUUCUACUGCUUUGACUCACUAGUUAGAGAGGAGUGUAAGCUUUUCCCCAGCAUCACCCAUGUGAGCAUUCCCAUGCAGGUUUUAAUGAUGUUUACAUGACCUGCUUCAUGAUCUCAAAAAAAAGAAACAAAAGAAGUGAAGCUGAUUUUGCUGGUCUGCUAGGUGAAAGCAGGUCUCACCACUCUUGGCUCCCUUCUGCAAAUAAGAUUUCAAUAGCGUUAGUAACUUGGGUCAUGUUCAGUGUGGUCAGGUCCAAACCCGAGCGCAGGGUCCCCUCAGCACAGUGGGGCCAGGGUGGCCGCAUGCCAACCCAGUGACAUCAUCAAGCCUGACAACGGCAGUGCUACCAUCCCACUGACCCUCCAUCCCCAUUUUAUCCUGUGGCUCAUUCCACCUGUGACGAUAGAGAAGCUCAUCCUGGGUCAAUCACUUCAGCCAUCUAUGUCAGCACCAAGGGAUUCCCCCAAACCCCUUUUUCCCAGUGCAAAACAUGUCAGAAAUCCAAAGAGAAUUGAUACACGGUGACCUUUACAACACUUCAUUGAUAAAAUCCCUGGACUGCUUUGACCUGAAAUUGUUGUUAGCACGUAUCUUCCUAAUUCCACUGAAACAGUGUAGGACAUUAAAGUCCUAACUAGACCAAAGUCUUUUAAAAUACUUAUGAAAGUCAUUUUACACACAAGAUAAGGCACAAUGCAGUAACAUGAUAACAAUUACACAGACUUUUUACAGCCUGUUUUCCAAUGGCCACAGUGCAAACUAGCAGAUGAUGUUUCCUUCCUGAAGAAAUCUAUCUGCAAGGAACUGUCUGGAGAUCUUAAUUCUCAAAAUAAUGAACUUUGGGAGCCUCAGCUGAUGAACAGCCAGGACUCUAGCUCAUUUACCCUUCUAUUAUGGACAUAUCAGCUUUAAUAGUGCAAAACAGCUGUGACAAGACAGUGCCAAAUUUUUUCCCUGAUCACAUUUGGCCAUCAGUACUGGCCAUGACACCCACCAGUUCAGCGUAGCCUCAAGGAGCAGCCAUCAGCUGAAAGAAGCACCGGUGUUUGGGGACUUCACCAUUGUACAUCUUUGCAGCUGGGCUGGAAGAGCUUUGUCUGACACGAUGCAGAUUUCUUUAAGCACCUUCCCCUUCAGCAUCUGCACGGGUGGCUCAGAGGUCCCCUCCCCACAGGAAGGGCUGGGGGCACAGGAAAGGCUGGAAAACAGCAAAAGUUCAGCAGCAAAAUCUGCUCAGCAGAGGGACCUGAUGGCUGAGGUCAUCCCACUGUGAUGAGCAGCCAGCAGCGCGUGAUGUUUCCUGUCUGAAAAAACAUUAACCCCUGUGUACUUUCAAUUUUAUUGUGAAUCCCACAAGAAUAUUAUUCUACAUUGGUAUUUUGGGGAACGAGUGUGCAGCAUGCUGCUUAAGCACCGUCAUUGCUUGAAAACAAGGUGAUUUCAUGGCAGAUGGAUCGAGGCACUGGCUCCCAGACACAAAUGGGUCCCACUAAGCCUCAAUAAUUGGCCAAUAGCUGGUGAAAACUGCCUUGUAAAGAGAGCCCUCAACUUGAAGCUGGAGGAUAAGGGUACAGCAGUGGCAGCUCAUGGCAUACAGGGAAGACUGGCAGUAACCCAGGGAGUCUGAAGCCUUCAGUAAGAAAUACUUUUGUCUUUUGCACUUACAAUUUCUAUGUUAGAUGUGUAUGUAUUUCUAGUUACUUUCAUGCUAUGCUACAGGUUUCUAACAUUUUGUCUUUUGUAGAACUUCAGACAUCAAAUGGACUUGCAUUUUAAAGCAGGAUGCAGAUUUCCAAUACAAACUAUGCUUUUAUGCCCUCUUUUCCCCGAAUCCCCCACUUCAAAAAGCAAUAGCUUAGUGCUGCUGUAAAUUUCCUUUAAAAUACAUAAAACCAUAAAAAUCCAAGUUCAAGGAGGGAAACCAAAAGCACUAUGUAGCCCUUCAGAAUUAAAGUCAGAAAAAACCCCAACAUCUAAGUGUAUAAAAUUAAGUCAAAAGGCUGCCAAUGUUCAUGAAAAUGAUUUGAAGUCACGGUAUCUAAAAAAACAAUAGUAACUCUUGGGACUUUCUGUUUUCUUUCUGGAAUCUAAAUCUUUAGGAUUUGUGUUUUAAAGCUUGAUGCUACAAGCUGAGGGUUUGCUUUGGAUUUAAAGCAACCUUUGAAAAGUAGUGUUGAAGGGUAAAAAGCUCACAACAUCUUAAGAAUUAGGGAGCUGGUGCUUUAGGAAAGAACUAAAUCCUGCAAGGCUGCAGACGAAGCCGUGCAGGGGAAACCAGCAUGGCAGGGAGCCCUGCACCCCUCCCGGCCACGCUCUGCUCUGGGAGGAGAGACCAGUGUAGCCAGGACGGGCAGCGCGCGGGUGACGGGCAGGGAGGGAAAGGGACCUCUUAUAUGCAAUAGAAUAUAUUGCCUUCUCAUGUUGUUCAUGCCUAGUGUAAGUCUAGCUCUAUAUUGCUUUUCUGUUCUGGUUUUGAUGGGAGAUGUGGCAAGCCAGGCUUUGCCUUGGGAUUGCAUUAUCAAUUCCUAGCUGUGCUGAGCUUCCCCCAUUCCCCUUCCUCAGCAUCAUGCACUGCAGACCUAUCCCAGCUGCCAGCGGAGGAGGGGGUGUGGGAGUCUGGUCUGGAAGAAAAAUAUUCCCCAGCAGAAUAAGAGUUCAAGGCAUUUUUUUUCUUUAUCCAAAAGCCUCUGCUGGGUUUAGAAAACUUUUGCUUUCAGCAUUGUACAUGCACAGAGGGUCAGGACAGCUGCUCUCCUGAAGUUUUCAUCAUCUCAGUAAAGCACAAGAGAAAGGAAAGCAUGCUUGUCCCCAUUUAUGGGUGGAAAAAUGAAAAAGGAGAGUCUGAAGGAAAAGUGGGGCCAUUCCAGGACACAAGGGACCAGUGGCUCCAGAUACUGGCUAUUGGUGUCCAACUGCAACUCACAACAGGGGCUUGCUGAAGUGCAAACCCAAUACCAUGGCUGAGCAAGUGAGCCCAGGAAAACAGGUGGGAUGGAGGACCUUGACUUGCAAACAAAGGUAAUGAGGAUAAAUUCAGUGACUACAUACAGUUGUUUUCCAUUCUCUUUUAUUGUUUUUCCUGUUUGAUGUGGGUUUAUUCCUUUUGACAACUUGCAGCUGUUAUUUUUGGUCUUCACUGUUCUGCCUUUUCUUUUCAUGUCCCAGAUGAUGAUUUCAGUACUCCCUGGGCCCAUGCCAUCUCUACCAGCUCCUCUUCCCCAUCACCUGCAAGUGUCUCUUCCUUGCUGUCACUCCUCACAGAAGGGUUUUGCUCUUCUCUCCCGUGAAGCGGCUCCUGGCCCCGUGCCUUGCCACUGAGCUUGGCAGAAAUCAAACCAAACCUUGUGCUCAGCCAGGCAGCAGUGCCGCUGUGCCCACAGACCACACGAGGCUGAGGGGGAGCUGACCCAACGUCCUGAGGAUUUAAUGCUGAUGCCUGUGUAAAUGGUGUCUGUGCAUCCUGUUACUGGCAGGGAUGUAGCUGAGACGAGGGUAUUAGAGACCAUGACCCCUCUGAGCAGUGUGCAGAGACCUGUGCAGCAACAAGCAUCGUUCAAACCCUCUGGUGAGGUUUUUACAGCCAGAAGGUACGCGUCUCCUCUCUUCCUAAAGUAUAUCAAGAGAAAGAUGUUAAACAGGAUAAACUAUGCUGACAUACUGGUGACCUUUGUAAUGGCAUCACAGCACAAGCUAAGCUGUUAUAUUUCUAUAAAUGUAAUGAGGUUACUAAGUCAGGGGCAGAGGUGUGCAUGAGGGGGGGCAGUGAGGCUGCGAGGGGAGUAGAACAGCUGGAGAGGUGAGAGCAGAUGCUGCCCCAUCCACCCCUGCCCUUGCCCCUGCCAGCCUGCACGUAGCCCUCUCCUGCCUGCGCUGGUUGGAGAAAAAACUUUCCGUGUACCAAAGGGAAUUUUUUGUGUUACUCUUCAAGCUGCAGAUUUUUGUCACCCAGUUCCUCUACAAAUGCCCCCACUCCCAAGCCUGGCGACCCUUUGCAUCCGGGGCUCACGCUGGGAUUUCUUCAGCCGUUCCCUGUCAGCCGUGGCGAGGCAGCUGGCUGCUGCACGGGGACAUUCGCCCGUGAAGUUCUGGUACAUCCACACCUGACGGGUGGUCUGGGGUUCACCCCACUCUUGCUCACCCCAUGUGCAGCCUCCAGCUGCCUCCCUGCUGCUGCAGCAUCCUGCUUCCCUCUGCUCCUGCACUGUGUCACUGCCUUUCUGCAGAGGGGCGACACUCAUCUGUCGGCUUUUAUUCUUCAGGAAUUUGCCUGUUCUCCUGAUCCAGAGACCCUUCCUCUAGAGAAAUAACACUCUGUGUCUGCUGAGCAAACCUCUGGGGCUGUGGGAGGCAGCCGGGAGCCCUGAGGCAGCUUCUCCACUUUUGUCUGCCCCACCACUGUGCCAGGACUCAAGUCCCACCACUUGCAGCAUUCCCUCAUCUGGCUCACUGCACACCUUGGGGAUGCUGGUGCCCCUUCCCUCUGGGACUGCUGCCUGGCAGGGUGCUGAGCUGUUUCAUGGAUUCUCUGAGUUACAAUGUCACCCAUUUCUUCAUCACAGCUGAUCAGGAUUUUCCUUGUUCUGUCCAUCCAGGUCCCUCCCUCCAGAGACAGGAGGCUGCAGGUCUGCUCCACUUCCCCUAGCCCAGCUGUGGAGCCCUUGAAGAGCUGCUCGGUGUGUUCUGCUCUCACCUGAUUUUUCUUUCUCCAAGGUUUAGCUGUUUGCUCCUCCACCACAAGCUCUAUUCCCUGGAGAUUGCCACACUUCAGCUUGAGCACCAGCAGCAGGCUGCUGUCAGAGGGUGAUGCAGAGCCCUCACUUUGCCUGUCGGCUUGCCCUGACUCCUCUUCUCCAGGCUGGUGGGGCCGUGACUGCUGCCCUGGGACCUGCUCACUGCCACACCAUGACUCCUGCUCCCAUACCGGCUUGCUGCCAUGCCGUGAUUGCUGCCCCGAUACCUUCUCACUGCAACGUUGUGACUGCUGUCCCAAAGCCUGCUAGCUGCCAUGCUGUGACUCCUGCCCCAAUAUCUGCUGGCUGCUGCACUGGGACUCCUGCCUUGGUACCUGCUCACUGCCAUGCCUUGCUGGCCAUCUUGUUGUUUCAGGGCACAUACCUGAAAUUUCUCUUUCUGCCCCAUUUAAUGAUUUAUUCUUUGCAUCAAUACUGCUCUCAGAUAUUUGAGCAGGGGACUUCAGGAUUUCUGCCAGAGCCUUCUUGCUCCAAACUCUGCUCAUCUGCUGGCUCCUGUUCAUGACCUCUCUGGUUGUUUUUCGGCUGACCCAGGUCAUCCCAUCCUUGGGGUGGUAGGCCACCCUCCGCACUUGCUCCUGUCUUUCCCUGGAGCCAGUGCUGAGCGGCACCUCCUGCCAUGGGGGCUGGCAGCCACUGUGCCAUGGCUCGUCCCCCAGACAGGACUCUGGCCCCAGGGGCUGCCGGCUGCCCUUCCUGGAGAUCCGCUGAGGGCUGUGCCAAGAGUCCUGCCGAAGGGACCACUGGGAUGCUUUCCGCAGAUAUUCCUGCUCCCGGGCAGGUCUGCAGGUUUGCUCCAGCUCAGAAUCCUGGCCCCAAAGUUCCUGCCUUUGAGAAACAUCCAUUUCACUGCCAGGCUGCUGAACUGUGUCACCCAUCUUACUGCGUGAACCUUUACUCUCCUGAGUUUCUCAGGCAUCAUCUGCUGGUUCUGGUCCCAUUAGGUUUUGGCUGUGGUGCUGAUGCUUCUGUCCCCAUGCUUGCUGGCUGCUACCCCACAACUCCUGUCUCUGUGAUGCCAGCCCCUCUGCUGCAGCCAUUUCAGGAUGUAUAUCCAAAUUUUUCUCUUCCACCCUGUUUACCAGUGUAUCCUAUGUAUUGAUGGUUCCCUCCUGGUUUUGAGCAGGGCACCUUGAGGUUUCUUCCAGAGCCCUCUUGCUCCAAAUGUGACUCGACUGGUGGCUGCUGUUUGCCACCUCCUUGCUGGCCUGAGAGCUGGUGCAGGCAGGACCCUCUUCUGCACCCACACAUGGAGCUAGGACAGGCUCCUUUGCAUCACCUGGGAGUCUCCAAGUGAGGGAGCACCGGCUGCUUACCCCCUCACUCCCCAGCAGAUCAUCCUGGGGCAUGAGGGCCAGCACGUCCCCAUGCAGGGGCAGCUGGUGGUGGUGUGGAGCCGGUGGUGGCGAUGGGUUCCUCUGCCUGCCCCUGCCCUUCAGAAUCUCCCACCACUAUAAGGUCACCAAACAGCUCCACUGCUGCCCGGCUGCCACCCCCACCCCCAGCCACACUGCUAUCCCCAGACUGUGCCUCCACAACCCCACAGCUAUCCCAGCCUGUCCCCCCAUCCCACAGCCUGCCUCUAGCUAAACACUCGCACCGCUCUCCAAGUCUUGUACCCCCCUGCCCAUGCAGCCCCUAAUCGUCAUCCCCGCUGCCCCCAACUUUCCCAAGCAUUCCUCCCUGCAAGCUGUUCCCUGCUGCCAGCCAUACUGUGUUCCCAGAACCUGCAUUAAUAACCUGUCUUUUUUUACCCCCUCGUUUAUGUUUAAUUGCAAAAUUAAUUCAGGUUUUAAAAACCUUUAGCUCAUUGCCUGGCUUGUUUGUUUUGUUCAGCUUAUUCUGGAGAAACGUCUGCUUUAGAGUAUUUUGGCAGAGAUGGCUUCUCACAAUCUGCAGCAGACGGGGAAACUGUAAUUCAUGAGCCAAUACUGCUCCUUAACAAUCUUGCACUCUUACGUGCAUAAUUUUUUUUAAAAAAAUAAUAUUAAGAACCCUGUGGCUGCCUACAAAGAUGUAGAUGAACUGUGUGCCUCAUUUGUGCUGUAUGUACAGCUGAAAAUCCCUUUUUAAUUUGCUCUGUCACAGUUAAAUAUUGCUGCUCAUACAGCAUAUAACAUCUUUUACGGCAGUAAGACAAAAAAAUAAUUUGGAUAAAAGAACUACAGAAACAAAUUUCCACCCAAAUCUCAGUGCAAACAAAACCCCAUUCCUAGUUCAUGGUAUAUAAUCAAGGCUUUAUUAAAUCUAAAUCAGCAGGUAUAUGUAGAGGUAUAAUGCAACAAAAAGGUUAAUAGAAGAUUUUUUAGUGAAUUCACAACAUAAGGACGCUAAAUUACUGAAAGGCAAAAGUGCCCAAGGAAGCAAAUGAAAUCUUAAGGUGUAGAGGCCAAAACUCCAGGCUAUAGCCACUGUGAUGUGUGCCCAACAUAAACCUGAAAAUAUCCUUAAGCCCUGCCAGGAGUGACAGGACCUGGCCAGGUUGCAAUGAACUGGAGCGGGUAGUGCUUUCUAAGCAGCGGCAGACACGUCACGCUUACGCAUGAUACACUGUGCUCUACCCUUGCUCUUCCCAACAGAUCUGUAAAAAACCCAUGCAGAGAGCGAAGGCAGAAGGAAAAGUGGUUUGGUCCCAGCUGGUGGAAGCGGUGCUGCUUUCCUCACCCGCUGGAGCGUCACACCGUGAGAGCUGCGUGCCAAGCGAGCAGGUCACCAGCCCCAGAAAAGAAAUAAUUCACUCAUGCUGCACGCUGCAUUGUCAUGCGAUUGCAUGACAGGGUAUGGCGGGGAUGGUUCCCUCUGCCGCCACUUUCACCUGGCAGCCAGAGAGAUGUGACCUCCUCCAGGUGCAUUAACCACUGAGGUGUGAGAGCCAGAACUGGAGCCGGACUGCUGUGCCCUCAUCCCAGGACGAGCACCCAAGGGUGCUACCCUGUGCCCUGGGACCAGGACCACAUAGUCCUUUGUUCUUCAUCUUUGUUUUGACCCAGCUGCGAUCACCUUGCUUCAGAGUGGUCAAAUGACAUAUGAAGUUCAGACUAAUAGCAACCAACUUACCUAGUCUCAAAAUACUAGCAGAGUAAAGAUGCAAUUACAUUUGGUUGUGCAGGAGGUCAUCUGAGCAACACCCAGCGGUAUUUCACCACUCUUGGUAAAUCCACUCUGUGCAACACCAUCAACCUGCUUGAAGGUCCAAGGCCAUUGCAAUAUAAAUACUGUGAGUUUACACAGCUUGAAAGGGAGUAUUUGAAAGACGAAACACUUCCAAAAGUACUGCUGGAGAAAAACAUGCAGUUUUCUCCUUCCUUUGCAAGCCUCUAGUACUUGCUGGAGCACUCAAACUUUUGUGGAGGAUUGACCAUGGGGUAAAGCACAUGGCCAAGCUUUUUACUUCUCUCAGAAAAGCCACAGAAAAGUCACAAUCCACACAUAUUCCCUAUAGAUUUGUCAAGCCUUUCCAAGUAAAAUUCCCAAAUGUUCUGUCCAUGCCAAGCAUGCUCCAGCCCAGGAUGGAAGAUCUGCCACUUACCCUGU